GUGGGGAAUAUUGGACAAUGGGGGCAACCCUGAUCCAGCGAUGCCGCGUGUGCGAAGAAGGCCUGCGGGUUGUAAAGCACUUUGAGUGGGGAAGAAAGAGUUGAGUCGAAUAGGCUUAACAGUUGACGUUACCCACAGAACAAGCACCGGCUAACUCUGUGCCAGCAGCCGCGGUAAUACAGAGGGUGCGAGCGUUAAUCGGAAUUACUGGGCGUAAAGGGCGCGUAGGCGGAUGAUUAAGUUAGAUGUGAAAUCCCUGGGCUUAACCUGGGCACGGCAUUUAAAACUGUUCAUCUAGAGUAGAGUAGAGGGAAGUGGAAUUUCCGGUGUAGCGGUGAAAUGCGUAGAGAUCGGAAAGAACACCAGUGGCGAAGGCGGCUUCCUGGACUCAUACUGACGCUGAGGCGCGAAAGCGUGGGGAGCAAACAGGAUUAGAAACCCCGGUAGUCC
rnacentral:rRNA from 1 species